ACAGGCUACUCUCCCAUGUUCUUCUCUUUCUGAACUCCACCAUUGAAACUAAUUAAACCCUUAUACCACAAAACCCCUCUGAAAUUAACUUUUUACACCUCUCAAUUGUGCAACAGAUAGGUUUGAAUUUUCAAAAUCAUCAGCUACAGGUAAAUAUCAAGAGUUUCAGUUGUAGUUCAGAUCUUCUCAGGUAAAUUUUAACAAUUUCAGUUAUAUUUCAGAUUUCAUCAGGGAGAUCUCAACAACUUAAGUUGCAGUUCUGAUUUUCAUCAGGUAACUAUGCCGAGACUUCCUUCAAGUAACCGUUCCCGGUCUGCAAGUACUAGGCCUGCAAGUACUACCCCUAGGUCAAGUGCAGCUAACUGGACGAGGUCUUUGCUCAAUUCACAAGGGUCUCCAUCAACUGAUGGUGGUUGCACUGUUGCAAGUUCAAGUGAAGGGAGUCAUUGUAUGUCUUCGUCAGAUGGUGAUCAUUCUCUAAUCCAUGGUAAUGGGAAUCAGGCUGAGGGAAAUGGAUGGCAUGAGGCUUUUCAUCAAGCAAAUAGUGAAGCUGACAAUACCGAGGAAAGUGGGAUUAAUGACGAUCACCUUUUGGUAGUUCUAUUCAAUUCUUUGGGACAACCAAUAGAGGAUGCUUCUAAGAAAUAUGCUGCCAGAGUUGGACAAUAUCCAGGAGUGUUGUCCCACCGUAUAUUGAGGAUUGGAGGUCAGUUCCAUGUGCUCUUAAGGAAGAAAUCUGGAGAUCCAUCAAGAAUGAGUACAAGGUACCUGAAAUUAUCAAGUGUAAGGCGUUAAGGAUGGCAAAUAAGUCAUGGAAGAACAAAAAGACAAUUUUAAGGAAAUGGUGUGACCAGUUUGCUACUAUUUCCAAAAGAAAGAACAAUAGACCACAAGGUGUGAAGAGCGAGAAUUGGGAGAAAUUUGUGAAAAUGCAUGAUUCAGAAGAAGAUCAGAAACUAAGGGAGAUAGGUAAGGAAUCAAGGAAGCUACUCAAGGUUUUGCAUACUACUGGAAGGGAUGGCAUUGCACGUCCUCGUCAUAUUAUGGAACAACAAAGUCCAACUGGAAGUGUGUCAAGAACUGUUGUAUACUUGGCAACACAUGUUUACCAAAAAAUCCCUCAAGAAUCACUUGAUGUAAUGGACCCUGAUUGUUACGAAGUAAAAUACAGAGAAUAUGUCGCACAUGUAAGAGAACUGCAUGAAACCGAGCAGUAUAGAGAGGAAACCCACUUGGAUAGAGAUUCAGUUGCCAAGGUGUUUGGAGUUGAUGAUAGGGGAUGUGUUCGAGGAAUGGGAGGUGGGAUAUCAAAGACUGAACUGCUUGCUUCCGCACUUCCUAGGGAGCAGUUACGACAGCAAGUGCUGAAGACUAGAGAUGUGGAAGAUCGUGUCCAUAGUCUCGAGGUAACUGUUGAGACACUAAUGGCUGGUUUGAGUUGCAAUUCCAACACCAACAAUGCUAAUGCUCAGGGAGUGGAUGGUGGUGGUUGUCAACUCAGAAGCCAGAAAUUAAUUGUGAGAAAGAUGAGAAAAAGUUGUGUUUCCUUGGGACGUAUAGAUAGGAGUAGGCCUCCAACUAAUGAUGAAUAUCAUUUGGUCUGCGUUGAAGAAAUUUGUCUACCUUCUGAGAGUCUGUGCGAUGGCAAUGGUAAUUUUCGUGAUAUUAACAUAGGCGACAAGAUUUUCUGGCCUCAACACUCGGUUUCUCUACUCCCCACUGAUGAUGAUGCGUUUUAAUGAAGAAGUUAUGUUUUCUGUGGAGGUGCACUGACUGACUUUUUGGAACUUUUUUUGGGUAUAGACAUGGUUGGGAUACAUCUUCAGCAGGUUUGAGAACAAGUGCCAGAAUGCUUCUAUCUUUUCUACACAACCGAAGCUGAAAAACACUUUGUUACACAAAACAGUGGAGUUACCAUGAAUGCUUCUACCAGCUUCAGAGAAAGUGCCAGAGAUACUAACCUGGUUGAUGAUGAUACUACCUACUAUGGCAUUCUGCAAGAUAUAUUUGAAGUGGACUAUGGAGUUUUUACAGAAGUUGUUUUCAACUGUGAUUGGGUGUGAAUGGCAGACAAAGUAAACGGAUCAUACGUGGAUGCAGAUACAAAGUUAAGUUUUGUCAACUUUAAGAAGUUUAUGAACAACUCAAGAGAGGUCGACGAGCCAAUCAUCCAUGCUUCUCAAGCUAGACAAGUAUUUUACUUCCGAGAUGUGACAAGGCAGCAUUGGAAUUUGGUUUUGGAGUCUCCAAUAAGAUCAGACCCGAACAAGAACGCUUUUGAAGAUCCAUUUGUCUUCAUUGAAGCCGCAAGUGAAGCUUUGUCAAUUUUGGCAACUUUUGGAGAUGACGAGUAUUGAAAUAAAGAUGCUCCGUUAAAUGAUGAGUAUUCGGAUGAAGAUUUUCAGGGAACUACCUGAAUGUGGAUCAUGGAAUAUAUGGAAUCAUAAUGUUUUGUCGAGUUAUUGGUCUCCUGCUUUACCAAGGCUGCCACGCAUGAAGAUUAUUUCACUAUCAGAGUACAUCUUUCAUUGAUGUUUCAGAUUAUUAGUUGAUUAAUGAUAAGAUAAAAGUUGUCUGAAUUUUUCAGUUGAGUAUUAUGACCUCGGGAACUUAUUUUUUCAGUGCAUGUACACCAUUAUUAAUCUAUCAUUCUGUAACUGAAUCUUAGAACUUAAUUACUUUUAUUGGUGUAAGAACUUGUAUUGCUCUGAACCUUUUUUUUUGUAAUUUGAAUACUUUUUUAUUUUUUUUGU